GCAAAAGGAGUUUUCCAGGACAAAGGUUAGCGAGUUGUGGAUGACAAAGAGAAGAUGAGUAUUCAAGGACAAAGGGAAGGCAAGGACAAAGACAAGCCUAAGGAGAGCAGCCAGAGCCCAAGUGGGGAUUGGCAGGGGAAAAAAAAAAAAAAAUGCCGUCUGCGCCCAUCUUCCUUCACUGAACUCUAAACAGAACACUGACCGAGUUUUCUUAUGAACACAAGACAGAGUUGGAAGGGCACAGAGUUCCCAUCUUUCACUUUCUGCACCGAGGACAUCUCUAAAAUCAUUCGCCAAGUCAUAGAUGACUGUUACGUCAAGCUCGAGCUUACCUCAUUUCCUGCGGCCGACCUGCUGGCUGGUCCAUUGACUGCGGGCAAAUUCUAGAGCGGCGUACCCUCCAAGAUGCCUGGGCAUGGAGACCGUCUCCAGGAAUGCGCCGGUGGUUUGGUGGGAAGCAGUCUCUGAAUUGGCUGUGAGGAAAUCUAAAUAAACUGCACAGGUGUGA